rnacentral:rRNA from 1 species
CCUACGGGAGGCAGCAGUGGGGAAUAUUGCACAAUGGGGGAAACCCUGAUGCAGCGACGCCGCGUGAGUGAAGAAGUACUUCGUUACGUAAAGCUCUAUCAGCAGGGAAGAAAUACUGACCUUACGGUCAGCCUCCGGUACCUGAGUCAGAAGCCCCGGCUAACUACGUGCCAGCAGCCGCGGUAAUACGUAGGGGGCAAGCGUUAUCCGGAUUUACUGGGGGUAAAGGGAGCGUCGACGGUGCGCCAAGUCUGGAGUGAAAUGCCGCAGCUUAACUGCGGAACUGCGUUGGAAACUGGCGAACUAGAGUGCGGGAGGGGUAAGCGGAAUUCCUAGGGUAGCGGUGAAAUGCGUAGAUAUUAGGAGGAACACCGGUGGCGAAGGCGGCUUACUGGACCGUAACUGACGUUGAGGCUCGAAAGCGUGGGGAGCAAACAGGAUUAGAUACCCGAGUAGUC